GUGAGGACAAGGUUCCUGGCGGUGUGGACAAGGUUCCUGCCGGUGAGGACAAGGUUCCUGGCGGUGUGGACAAGGUUCCUGCCGGUGAGCACAAGGUUUCUGCCGGUGUGGAUAAGGUUCCUGCCGGUGAGGACAAGGUUCCUGGCGGCGUGGACAAGGUUUCUUCCGGUGAGGACAAGGUUCCUGGCGGUGAGGACAAGGUUCCUGGCUGUGAGGACAAGGUCCCUGGCGGUGAGGACAAGGUUCCUGGCGGUGAGGACAAGGUUUCUCGCGUUGAGGACAAGGUUUCUGCCGGUGAGGACAAGGUU